GCAGGGGUAGCAAAGCCUGGUCAAAUGCGCCAGCUUGAGGGGCUGGUCCCUUAGGGGUUCGUGAGUUCAAAUCUCACCCCCUGCA
rnacentral:tRNA from 1 species